AUUUGGGUGCUAAGAAAAAUCUGUUCUCCAAUUCAGGGUUGUAAGCAACCCUCCCCAGCAAAAGCAUUGUUGACUUCUAAUGAAGCAGAGAGGCAUAUGUAGCUCUGAAAUAGAGGUUGCCAAAUGGUAUUCCCAGUGACACAUGGGAGACUGGAGGAAAGGGUCUCCACAGAAAUUCAUCAGUGUGGGGAGAGCUGGUUAGUAGGUAGGCCAUAGAAUUUUCCAGUGACAUCACCAGUAAGCCCUUCACUGGACACUCUAUUGUAUCUAAGAGAUCCCUAGAAUCUUCUGUGAUGUCACCAGUGUUGUGGUGACACCAACUGCCUUUGGGAUAUUACUUCAGUUCCCUUUGGGUUCACAAGCAGGCAUGUUUCGCCAGCUGCUCAGGCUAUUUCGGAAGGAAAGUGUUGAUCAAGGAGAAACCACACCAGGUCAGAGGGAAGCUGACCCCCUCUCUAGUGAAACAGGAAGGAGGAAAUCAUUCUGGGGAAGGCUUGGUGAGUCAUGGGCAGAGUUGGGGAACAUCCUCAAGGAGGUAGGUUUGAGAUGUGCCUUCUAAGACUAGGCCUUACAAGCAGGAGAGUUGGGAUUUUUCAAAGGCAAACCAAGAGUCAGGAGUUCCUGAUCUUUAAUUUGAGAGAAAGACAUAAAGUGGUAAGACUUCAGUGUCUUUUCUUGAAGCUUUUUAACUGUGAGUGUCAAUGAUUGGCAGGAGGAGUCACUGUGAGAUUAACAAUGUGACCAUCCAUGGUUGGGAGUUGAAGCACUUCAUCCUCUAGAUUACUGUAGGUUACAGAAGUCUCUGAUGGCGAGAACAAGGAAGGAUGCACCCCUAGUCAUGAAUUGAGUUCUCAGACACUUUGGGCUGGACCACACUUGGUUAGAGCUUGAUGGUGCUAAGCAUUAUGAAGUCAUUAUGAACUCCAGGAUUAUCUGCACCACAUCUGAUAUGAGAUAACAAUGUCGCAGAUGUUUAUGUCUCAGUCAGAUUAUACAUUUCUGUGCCGGGGUUUGUGUAAUAGUGAGUGUGGUACGCAUAUGGCAUUAGAGGUUGGGAAGAGGGACAUAGCUUAAGAAUCAACCUUUAAGAAAGCUUUUCUGCUCUUUCAGGGAUUCACCCAGUCUCUACCAUUUCCCCUUCCUCAACCUCCUUUUCGGAUUCAGAAUGAUCUAUUCUGCCCAUUGGUUCAAAUAUGCAAAUUCACUUGGGUUUAUCUGUGUACAGGUUUUGGUAGGAAGGCAUCAUCCCAAAAUGUCAUCAGUAAGCAAGAGGAGUGUCUAAAGGAACUGGAGGAGCUCAAAUUUGAAAUCCAGAAGUGUCAAUUCGAGAGGGAUGAACUUUACCAAAUCCUGGACCUUUAUAUCUAUGAUGAGUGGGACCACAGGCUGCAUGUCGAAUUGCCAAUACUUCAAUCUGAACAUGAGAUGAGAAUGAUGGCUAUGCAAAUGAUGACCAACUCAAUAAGUGAUGCCAUGGAGAGGUACAAGGAGCUCAUACAAGUGAACAGUUCCUACCGGUGAGUCGCUGACAGAGAUGAGAACCCAGCACUAGGCAGGGAAUGCUUCUGUCCUGUAUGACUUUAACAAAAGUCAGGGCUCUGGUUCCAUGGUGUCUGACUCUUAACAAGAAGCCUGCCUCCUGGCAAGGGUCUUAGAUUUGUAGCUCUUGGACUCAGUUGUCGUACAUGUGAGGGGUGUAGAAGACCCUCCAAUUGUUAUUUUCCCCGUUAAAGAUCCUCUAGAUAGAAAAGGUUUGCACCAUGAUGGGAAUAUCAAUCAACUCUGAAUCUCUAGGACUCUGACAGGAGAUAUAAAGAUCUGUGAUCCAUGAGAAACAUAUGGAAAGAUUGUAUAGCUAUUGGGUCUUCAACUACCCCUCAGAGGGGCUUUCCCCACAACGUGAAGAUGGUUUCACCAUACCAUGGACAUACGAGCUCCCUUAUGGACCAUCUCUUCUUCCUUGAUUUAUAUAAACCGUCUUAGUGUCAGGAUUUUCAGAAGUACUUUGCUUCAUGUGGAAUGUGGAUUCUGGAUUUGACCUCCUCUAAUUGGUGUUAAUUUGUAUAGUGUGGCUCUAUUCUGGGGAUUUCUGAGGAUGAGGACCCUUGAAGGGAUGAUUGGACUUGCAGGAGUGACAGGCAAAUAGAGGCUGGCUGGGAUUUACUAUUUUUUUUUGUGGUUCAGCAUCAGGCAAUCCCAGCUCCUGCGUGAACAAGCUCAAUUGAAGAACAAUAUACAGAUUUUGCUGAAUGAGAAGAGAGAACUGCUGGUGGAGCAGACUGAACUGCCAGCAUCCUCUGUGGAGGCAAAGAGGUUCUGUUAAGAGGCCGGAAUGAACAUCUGUGACCCCAGAGCCAAGCAACAGCAGGUAGGGUUAGGACUCAGGUCAGGUGGUCCUCAUGUCUUACCAUAAACAUAGACACACCAAUGUAACUGUCUAUUGACUGAUCCAUGUCCUGACCUAGGUCUCAUCCAAGUGUUCAUUCAUGUGAUGGUUUACAAGGCUUUCUGUGGAGAUAGCCCCUUUUCAAGAAACUGCAUGUUUGGAAAUGAAAUGCUCCUGCUCUUUGAGAAUCUGCACUUCAUUAAGGGAGAUAGGUUGAUCACACAGCACAGCACUACAUGCCAUUAUGUAUGGAGGGUGCUAUGUGGGAGCCCCUCUUUAGACUAGAACAGGGCUUUGAGGGAUGAAGCAAAAGCCUGGAGCUCAUUUUCUUUACAGGGAUCGUGUGAGACUCAGGAAGUAAGUAGUUUUCAAGGAGGAGAGCUUGGUGGAAAUGCCAAAGAAAUGGUUCUCAUUGUCAUUUGUGGUGGCUUUUGUUCUUCCUCCCCUCAUGUCCCUGUAUAUGAAGAUGGUGACUUCAUGCUUCAUAGAUCUUGGGUAACUACAGAGCCUGUGUAUCAGCAUGUCAGUCCUGUCUUAUUUGAGUGCUCCUGGAGAGUUCAUAACUGGGCCUUAGAACCUGAAGCUGUUUAGAAGAGCAAGGAUGUGGAAAAGGUUUCUCAAAGGCUGAGGGUUGGCAUGAGAGACUUGAGGCUUCAAGAACAAAGUUAUCCAUAUGUACCCCCAAUUCUCACCAAGAAAGGUGCAUUGCUGUGCUGACCUGCAUCUUAGGGAGCAUGCGGGGAGGCCAGUUCAUGACAUGCAGUUUUGUCCAGUCAUUAUCUAACUUAGUCCUUUAAGCCUAGGUCUCUCAACAAACAUGAAGCUUCCUGUUUUGUGCUGGCCAGCAGUCUUUGCAUCAUUCGUCCAGUUCCAAGAUGAGCCCCCUCUCUUAUUUGUCUCAACACAUUCUUAAACCAUUCAGCUAUUUUAAAAAUAAGGAUUAGAUUUCUUCACUUUACCUGAACAGGUUAUCCCCCGGGAAGAUUCUGGAUUGUCUUAUUGGCUUCACCAUGAUCUUGCAUGGAAUCCUAGAGUGCAACCCUCUGCUGACAUUGCUUUGCUGACUAUAUCAUGGGUACUGCAUUCUUUCAGGAUAGAUUCCCUCUCAAUAUUGUACACAGUGCUGCCUUUCAGAAAAGUCACUGUAUGUUAUUUAUUUAGCCUUUUUCUGACUGACAUUGAGGUUGUUUUAAUAUCACAGGAACUCUAAUGUGAUGAAAUAUUCCUGGGAACUGACCAUGAGUCACUGUCUUCUCUGAUGCUUCCAAAGUCUUCUAUGAAGGAAACAGGGUAGUUUUAGUGAGGGGCCUAUGAUGAGUCAGCAUAGAGCUUGAUGGAGUCUUUUCCUAGAAAUCUCUCUCUUGAGGAUUUGAUGUUGUGUUGUUUAGAGUAUCUGUGCAGAACAUGUAAAUUACUUGUCGGACCAGCAAGUAUCUGCAUAGAAAGUUUUCCUGAAGUGGAAAUGAGUACAGGCCAGGGCAGCACAGCCUGCUUGAGUCUAAGAGACUUGUACACAGCAUUGUUCCCACUAAUUCCUCACUCAACAGGAAAUGUGCUGCAUAAGAGCAAAGUUUUCAUUUGUGCAUGCGAGUGUGUAUCUGUGUGUCUGUGUUUGUGUGAGUGUUUGUGUGUGUGUGUGUGUGUGGUGUGUGUGUGUGUGUGUGUGUUUGCAGUAGUGAACGUGUGUUUCCCUCAAUUCCAAGUUUCAUGAGAAAAGUACUCUAAGCAUUCACUUUACAUCCAUGAAACAUGAAAUAGAGCUGCCCAGUCAUUUGGCAUCUCCAUCUAGCUCUGUACAGCAAAAGGACACAUAAAUUACUAAUUUAUUCUGUUUCCAAAAAUUUCAGAACAGAAUUAUCCUGUGAAGUCUGGGGGAGGAGUGGAAAUAUGUUCAAGUUAGUCGUAUUUCACAGGGGUAACAAAUGGUACAGGCCUAGAGCUUGCAUGUACCUUUUUGUUAUGGUGUAGAAGCAGGACAAUAAAAUCCUUUAGAAAUGCAACCCCCAAAAAGAGGACAGAAAAACACCUGUAAAGUUAGAUUUUCAAGUGAUUACAGGCAAAACCACUGAUCUGCAUUGAAAUCCUUUGGAGCACAUCAAAGGAAUGGAGUACUGGGAGGUAAGGGCAAGGCUUCUCUAGAAAAAUCCAUGAGUUUAUCCUGCUUCUCUGUUCUUUGUGAAUUGUGAAAGCCCACUGGAAGGUUGUGUCACUCACUGUGUCUUCUCCAAGGUUGCUUUCCACAUUGCCUGCUACCAUUUCUUUCCAGCUACCUUGGCACACUACAACUUCCCGUGGGAGUUGGCUUGGAUUUUAUUCAUUGAGAAUUUGAGUUGCUUGGAAUUGUAUCGUCAUCCAGAAAAAGUCCCAUAGCUAUGCUGUGGUGCAAGAACAGGCCAGUUUCAGGAACCCCUUUAGGUGCACAGAUAAUCCAAAGCGCUCCCCUAUGUUAUCUGUGUAGCAUUCUGCAAGUGCUGUCAAUCAACAUCAUUUUCUCUCAGUUAAUUUCAGCCUCAAUGGGUUAGGAGAAAUGAUGAGCUUCAAAUGGGUCUGACAGUGUAAGAACAGGUAGCCCUAUGAGAAGCCAUGUUCAGAAAGUGGAACAGAAGUUUUAGUUAACCCAGUGAUUCCACAACAAGGAGUAGGUAUUGCCAUUGCAACUAGGGAGCAUCAAUGUUGUAGUGGUCCCAGAGUAGCCCUGAAGGAGAAUCUAUCCAGACGUCCAUCAGCCAAGGAGUAAAAGUGUACCAUACGAUGGAGCCCUUCCAUAGAUUCUGAUUCAGUGUGAGAUAAUCCAUGCAAGCGUUUACUUACUUAUUCAAAUUAUCUGUGGAAAAAUCACAUUACGGGGAGAAAAUUUGUUGAUUUGGAUCCUGGUUAUGGAGAUUUCCUAUGAUUCUAGCUUUGGGCAUGAAGUCACUCAGGCUAUGGUAAAGACAGCUCCGAUUAGAAGAAGUUGCACACUUUGGGGAAAGUCUGAAAGAGUGAACAAGAACAAGAGUCUAGUCCACCACCAAUAUAUGAUCCUUUGCUGAGCAACAAGACAGCUCUACACAGCCUUUGGGACUUGCUAAGCCAGAUUGUUAAUGGGGAAAGAACCCUGACUCUAUGACGGUUUAUGGGAGGACAGCACAUCACUGACUGAGCUGUCUAUAGGCUCUGGCCACUAUGUACAUAUCCCACUCAACAUUUUUUUUAUGCCUCCAGCGAAUCCUGGGGAAUCUUUACAUUAAGCAUUAAUGUUCAGGUAGGAACACAGGCUGGAAGAAGCCAUUUGAAUAUCCUUCCCUAUAUAAAUACCCUUUUUGGGUGGAUGACCACCCCACCUGGAUUUCAGCCUCAGGCAGCUAAGGAGCUACUCAGAGUAUUGUUCUGGUACAGUUCAUGUGAAUUUUGCCCAUGAAACAAUAUAUAUGAUCCUCUGGAUUUCUUGCUAUGUUCUACUCCUUUCUUCCUGUGAUCUCUCCGGAAAUAUCUGAGGACAUUUUCUCUUCUGUCCUCUCACAAAUUGCCUUACACUAGCCAUAGACUUACAGGGGUGCUGUUCUGUUUCUACAUCACAAUCACAUUUAAUGUCCGUGUGUACGCUGGGAAGAUUUGCAUGGAGCACAUUCUCAGUGAUUACAGGAUCUAUGCAAUUCCCAUGGAUUUGAUGUGAGAUGGCUUCUCUGUGUAUUUGCAGAUACAGUGGUUACAAAUUGAACCUCCGCAGGUUCCUUCAGUGCUAACGUAAUCAGAAAUUUCACCUCAAUUCUGGGCAUGUUCUCCAGAAGGAAUCCACAUGGUAUUCUAGGUUGCUCGUACCUCUCUUGAACUCAGGUUCAGACAUAGCUACAAUGUUAUUAUUCAAUGUCAUAUACCUGGACCAGUGGGAAAAAAUGCUCAUUUUUCUCUUAAUCCCAGUACAGUGCAUAGUCCACAGUUCAAAUUCUAGCAGUGUUAAAAGCUGAGAUAUAAAUCCAAGCGCAGGUACUCUAUGUCACUUGGGGAUGCAGGGACUGACCUAGGCUGACAGGUCAUGCUGGAUUGUCCAACUGAAUAGAGCUGAUGUAAGAGGGAGAGCUGAACUGACAACCACUCAAUAAAUCUUUAUUCCCUUGCUCUGCUAGGUCUGAAAUUCUCCAGCAGAAACUCGAACAUGACACAGACCAGGACAAGAUCUCCCUUGGAGAGAAAAGCUACAGGAGGAGAACUAAGUGUGCACAGCAAAUACACCACUAUUGCGUCUCACCUGUAGUGUCCAUAGCAAUUGUGGACGGCAUUUUCCUCCUUUAGUUUAACUUCUUUGGAUUGAAUAGGCUGUACUUUCACCUCAGCUCUCUCCAACAAGUGUGCACUUUUUGAGGGACUCAGAGAAGUGUUGAUGCACAUCAAUCAAGAGCUGCUGGUCAUCCAGAAAGACUGUGCACGUGUAAAUUUGUACUUGUCCUGAUGGGUCAUCCAGAAGAGUUUCAUGGAGAUCAGUUCACAACAUUGGAAAGACUUUGUGACAAAGUCUGUAAUAUCAUUUAUACGCAGUAUUGGUAGGCUUUUUCCUUAAUACCCCCACUCCAACAAAACAGACCUACUUCCACUCCUCUCGAGAAGAUUGUUACCAUCACUAACAGCUUUUCUACUAUGUCUCCAAGGCAAGCCACAGCUAUAAGUCUAUUCUGCAAAAGGAGCAGCAAAAGAAUGCUUAGCGCAAUUCUUCUUUUUAAAGUUUGGUUAAUUUUUAAAUGUUUUGGUUAUUUGGUUUUCCUUCUAUUCAUUUGAAGAUUUAUUAUCUAUCUGUUGUUGUUUUGUUCAUUUGCUUGUCUAUUUUGAUAAGGAUAUAGACUGUAUAUAUUGACUACCUGCAUCUGGUUACUAUCAAGUAAAUUGGAUGUAUUCUGGUCAAUAAAGGAGUAAUCUCAAA